UUUACCAAAACGAGCUGUGGAGGCUAGGAAAGACACUGACGUCAAUGUAAAAGUAAACCAAAGAGGUCUGGUUCCUGUAUCAUCCCCGCGCCGGGCUGAGGGCUGGGGAGCCAGCGAGCAGGAGCACGGUCACCCGGUGGAGGAAUCUGGGAGAGAGCUCAGGGAUCGGCAGCUGAGGUUUCUCAUCCAGGCUGUGUGUCCUUCCUCCCGGGCGAGGUUGCUCGUACAGCAAAGGACCCCAGCUGUUGAACAGACGGCCCGGAGAGCACCCCGCUGCCCCUUGCCAGGAACAGAUGUCUCUUUCCUGGGGCGAUAGCAUUCAGGUCCACGAGGAAAUUUUCUUACCGGCAGCUCCUCUAACAUAGAAGGGAGAUCGGGCCAGAGGUAAGUCCAUCCGUCGUGGAGGAAUACGCUGCAGGGAUCACUGCGGUGAAUGCUUUGGGAUAUCAGUCAGAGAGAAAGAGGUGUGGGGAGGACAUGGG
rnacentral:lncRNA from 1 species